AACGGGUGAGUAACGCGUGAGCAAUCUGCCUCAGAGUGGGGGACAACAGUUGGAAACGACUGCUAAUACCGCAUAAGCCCACGGAUCCGCAUGGACCUGCGGGAAAAGAUUUAUCGCUUUGAGAUGAGCUCGCGUCCGAUUAGGUAGAUGGUGAGGUAACGGCCCACCAUGCCGACGAUCGGUAGCCGGACUGAGAGGUUGAACGGCCACAUUGGGACUGAGACACGGCCCAGACUCCUACGGGAGGCAGCAGUGGGGAAUAUUGCACAAUGGGGGAAACCCUGAUGCAGCGACGCCGCGUGGAGGAAGAAGGUCUUCGGAUUGUAAACUCCUGUUGUUGGGGACGAUAAUGACGGUACCCGACAAGAAAGUGACGGCUAACUACGUGCCAGCAGCCGCGGUAAAACGUAGGUCACAAGCGUUGUCCGGAAUUACUGGGUGUAAAGGGAGCGCAGGCGGGGAUGCAAGUUGGAAGUGAAAUCUACGGGCUCAACUCGUAAACUGCUUUCAAAACUGCAUCUCUUGAGUAGUGCAGAGGUAGGCGGAAUUCCCGGUGUAGCGGUGGAAUGCGUAGAUAUCGGGAGGAACACCAGUGGCGAAGGCGGCCUACUGGGCACCAACUGACGCUGAGGCUCGAAAGUAUGGGUAGCAAACAGGAUUAGAUACCCUGGUAGUCCAUACCGUAAACGAUGAUUACUAGGUGUUGGAGGAUUGACCCCUUCAGUGCCGCAGUUAACACAAUAAGUAAUCCACCUGGGGAGUACGACCGCAAGGUUGAAACUCAAAGGAAUUGACGGGGGCCC
rnacentral:rRNA from 1 species